rnacentral:rRNA from 1 species
GACGAACGCUGGCGGCGUGCUUAACACAUGCAAGUCGAACGGAAAGGCCCUGCUUUUGUGGGGUGCUCGAGUGGCGAACGGGUAAGUCACACGUGAGUAACCUGCCCUUGACUUUGGGAUAACUUCAGGAAACUGGAGCUAAUACCGGAUAGGCGCUCCUGCUGCAUGGUGGGGGUUGGAGAGUUUCGGCGGUUGGGGAUGGACUCGCGGCUUAUCAGCUUGUUGGUGGGGUAGUGGCUUACCAAGGCGUUGACGGGUAGCCGGCCUGAGAGGGUGACCGGCCACAUUGGGACUGAGAUACGGCCCAGACUCCUACGGGAGGCAGCAGUGGGGAAUAUUGCACAAUGGGCGGAAGCCUGAUGCAGCAACGCCGCGUGCGGGAUGACGGCCUUCGGGUUGUAAACCGCUUUCGCCUGUGACGAAGCGUGAGUGACGGUAAUGGGUAAAGAAGCACCGGCUAACUACGUG